UACAGAGGGUGCGAGCGUUGUCCGGAAUCACUGGGCGUAAAGGGCGCGUAGGUGGCCCGACCAGUCACUGGUGAAAGCUCGACGCUCAACGUCGAGUCGGCCAGUGAUACUGUUGGGCUGGAGCACUGUAGAGGCAGAUGGAAUUCCGGGUGUAGCGGUGGAAUGCGUAGAGAUCCGGAAGAACGCCGGUGGCGAAGGCGGUCUGCUGGGCAGUAGCUGACACUGAGGCGCGACAGCGUGGGGAGCAAACAGG
rnacentral:rRNA from 1 species